CUGGCUGCAUCGUUAGGAGAGAAAGAGAAAGAGGAAGAGAGUGCGCGCUAGCCAGCGAAAGCUUCGCGAGCGAAAGGGAGAAAGGAAGGAGUAAAGGAAGACAGAACGUUUACGAACGCGAUAGAGAGAGUGUGCGCAAGGUACGAGGGAGAACGAGUGAGAAAGCCGGAGCGUUGCGUGGGGAGCGAUCGCAGCUCGUCAUUCGAAGCCCGCCAACGGACGAGCGAGCAGCGACGGCACGGGACUGCGAUUGAAAGUAUCCACGCGAUCUUCGCGAAAAUAAAGAGUACAGAUACAGGCUUACACACCUGAGAUUAAAACAGGUGAAGAAUCACAUCGUGACAAAACAUUUAUUUAAACAGUAAUUACCAACUGCUUUGCGAUAGCAAAUCAAUCGCCGGUGUAACACGCUGAUUCGUACGGUCCACUCGAACGAAGCGCUCGUUUCUCGUUCGGUUCGCUUCGGUUACGAUCGUGUCGGCCGCAGUGCUUACGGUGUUCGUCUCGCGUGUUUUCAUUUCAGAGAAGGAGAGUGACAGCGAAAAGAGUGGUGGAAAGAAAACAAAACUGUUGACAGUGAUUAAACGUGACUCCUGCAAAACAUCCUUAAAGGAUAUCUGUGUGACAUUCUUCUCGUUCGAAAUAUCAGGAAAACGAGAAUCCUAUUGCUCACAAGGACGAGUUGCAGAGAAGGAGCAGUGUAGUUUAUUCAUUAAACCACUAGGGUGCGUGUAUCGUAUGUGUGAUUGGAAUCAGUACCGGUACAACAGCAUUACGUGAGACAUUGAAAAUCGAAUUUGUGCUUCGAUCAGUGUUCGUUGUUGGUUAAAAAGUUCAUCGCGACUAUUAUUAUUCGUGGUCGGAUUGUGUUAUAGUGUCGUUUCGUGGUCGAUUUAAAACCGUUACAUUUUUUUCGAAGUACAUCGAUGAAUCAUCGAUAUUUCGAACUGAAGCUGGUUCAAAUCAAUUGCAAAUCGUUCAUUCUAUGAGGUUGAGUGUAGAAGGAAUAUCAAAGUUACAAACAAUAACAGUACAAUUUGUCUAAAGUAAGUUAUAUAGAAUCAAAUUCUAGGAAUAUACAAAAAGAAAUAAACAUUCCGAGGAACGAAGACGCCAUUAGUCUAACAGACCUGAGGCUAUUGUAGCCAUUAUCUUGUAACGUACGACAUAUUUGAAAAAUUGAAAUCUUGUUUCGCGCGCAAACGGAAUAUCAUAUUGGCUGCUUUCGGAAAGAGUUGGAUAUUCUUGAAAUAUCUUUUUGAUCAACUACGAGAAAUAUACCAAUGUUUAUUCCAAUAUAUCGAUAGAGGAAAUAAUAAAAUUUCUGCUAUAUGAAAGAAAAUACGUUUGGAAGAAAAUUCAAUUGUAUAUUAUUCCUGUGGAAAACGAUCGAAAGAAUCAACUAAGGACUGAUUUGUGAUUGAAUUAAGCUUUUCUUCACUGUUUUUACGAAAAUUUAAAAGAACUAUCAUCUUAAGAUAUAUAUUCCGAGUGUCAAUGUUUCGCCAUAACGUUACAAUUUCGACACUGAAUUCAACGGUGGCGCAGUAUUGAGGAAACCAAAGUUGCAUUUAGCAACUGAAAUUCAACUUCAAUGUUCUUCGUGUGCUGUCUACUAAUUCGGCGUCGUGUUUCGUGACAUUAUAUUCGCGUGUGUGCUACAAAAGUGCUCGUGGACGAAUGAUUUAUCAUACUAUCACGUGAAAAAAUAUAUUCGUGUGUGCAAAGAAAGCUUUUUUCCCAGUUGGAUUACAACGAAGCAACGACAUUGUGUUCACUUCGUAGGAGUGGAAGGAUUUGUCGCGACCUCGUGAAUUUCGAAUUCGUCGUGUCGAUCGAGACAACAGACAGCGCGUGGCCAAUUACUCGCAUCGUUACAAGCAUCAAUUGAUUAAUUAACACCUUAAUUAAUUCGUUCGAUCGGUUUUAACUCUUCGACACCGUUGCUGCUCUCGUGUCUACACUUUAACGUUUUCGUCCGUUUUCAAGAUCGUAUCGCGAUCGUAUAAUAUUCGGAAUUUUUCUCAUUUUAUACGCCAACAUCGGAAAAUUGAUUACACGCGAUUCAACUUCGUGACCAUUAAUUCCAGUUUUGAUUGUCAACGUUUUCUCGAGUUCGAUUUUCAUCGUAUAGGCAGGAUCUAUUCUACAUAGAUCCUUUGUCCGAUUAAACCGGGAUUACGUGCUAGUUCGUGGAGGCAAUCGGUCUGUAAUUGUGCCACGCGUACGGUUAAUCGCUUGUCUACGCGAAGAACAAUAAACGGUGGUGUUUACGUGACGAAAGUGCAGACGCAGCCCACUCGGUCACUUGCAAAAAGUGACCCAUAGUUUUCUCCUGGAAGUGGUACACAAACGGCCUCAAGAUUCAGCUGGACAUCAUGCCUUGGUUCAUCCUAUUUCUUCUUCUGUUAGCUGUGAUGGAGGCCUUCCCUCGGGAGGCCACCUGUUCCCGCCUGCCGGACAUCUACUGGAACUCCACCAAUCCAAUGUAAGUACAUCACGAGUGGAAGACCCUGCAACCUUGGUGAACUUCGAGAAUGGUUACGAUGUAUGUAAGUACGGUGCAAAGGUGAUAGACGAGCGUCGGAAUUCAGCCAAUUGAUAUUGGCUAGGUGCAAUUGCGCCGAGUAAAUAUAUGUGUAUCGAUAAUGGCGGUACGUAUCUGUGCGAAAUUGCACCGACUUCUCUCCAAAGGUGAAAUCUCUAAAGGUAAAAGUCUGCUACUCAACCGUGAAGAUAUUCGGAUAUUCGAUGAUGAAUCGGUUUACGCAUUCGAGAUUUACAUAUUUUCGACGAGGAUAAUAAUAUCUUAUCCAUGUUAAUUUUAUGUUUGUACAAGAAGGAACGUUACUAAUGCAAGAAAUAUCAUCUCAUAGAUAAAAUCGACGAGAAGAAUAAAAAAGAAACCAAGUAUUGCUUCAUAUUUGAACACCUUACUUUAAUCUACUCUCUUAAGGAACAAAUUACCAUCGAGUCCUGAAAAGAACGAUGGAAUCAAGCCCCAGUAUGUAUAUAUCUUUGUACUUGUAGAAAUAGAAUUCCGAAUCUCAAAUGACUAACGAUAUUUCCAAGAUAUAUUCCACACUCCCCUUAUUAUUUCAAUUCAAAGAGAUUACCAUAAUUACAAGAGAAAUUCUACUCAUUCGCGCAAUUCACCUUCGCUUUUAUAACUCUAUUCCACCAUCUGAUUAACGCUUUCGCGUCGAUUAUAAUUUUCUUCCUGCCACGUUGUUAACCACACAUCGUUGCGGAUGUACGCACUGCCAGAAGCUCGUUCAGCUAACGAUUUAAGAAGGUGGGGAGGAGACGUAUCUAACUCGAAUCGUCGAAGAAGUUGCUAACGAGGAUGAAGAAAAAAGGCGGAGAGUAUACAGGGCGCUUGUUAGCCGUCCUCCUCUCCUCACCUUGAGCCAACAAGGGCGCGUUAUCCCCCGAAGGUGACGCGGAUUAAUUAUUUAUCGUGUCUAUCUUCGGUUUGACGGGAAGGGAAGCUGGGUGUCGCGCGCGAGAUUAAACGAGCGCAGGAGGUCAGAUCCAUGAGAUUCGAUCGCGAUAAAGGAUAGAUCGAUAAACGUCUGUUAAAUAUGUACCGUGCGUCCGUGGUUAUUACGGAACGGAAGUUACGAGCGUUGGACGGUGAUUGCUACCUUCGCGAGUCGGUCUUCCUUUUCCGGCAGUGCUAGCGGAGGAUAAUUUUAGAGAAUCGUCUCUACUCUUUCUUCAUUCGUCGAAUUUAUUUCGGUACAGAUUAUUCCAAAAUUAACUGUUUCCUAUAUCUCAAUACGAGGUUUAACAAAAGGCGUACUACAUACACAUUGGAUUCACACGUGGAACUGUAUACGUAGAAUCGAUGAACGGAUUGGCCAGGUGUAACAGAGUAUUAACGAUCCAUGAAUGGUACACGGAUUCGAGAACUACGCUCAAUUACUACGCUCGGCACAGUAAAUCAUGAACGAGAUACAGAUCCGUGGUCGGAUGGCGACCCUUUGAAGCGACCCUUCAAGGUUACACCAGAAGGGCUGCAGCCGUCGAUAGAUAGACAGGAACGGUAAACAGGAAACGUAUUCGAUCGAUAGAGCGAAGGAGCCGUAAACCGAUAGAUAUAUAUCGGCGAUCGUGGGAGUUAGUCGGCCGAUUUAUGUAUACAGUUGAAGGAUCCAAGAGGAUCGUAGACAAUAAUGCUCUCUUCUCGAGAUAAACGAGUAUGUUUACGCACGUUCUUUUUCUCUCUCUCAUAUUUUUUUUUUCUCUUAAACAUGACGCGUAACAAUUAUAUCGCCACGUAUCGAUUGUUUUUUAUUCGUUCAUAUCAAAAUUUAAUUUUUUUUAUUAUUCUUUUUAUUAUCUUAAUACUUUAUAUUUGCAGCGUUUGUUAACGAAAAUAAGCGUAAACGUUUUACUCAAUUUCGAUAUUUUUCGUAACGGAAAUUGAAUUGCAAUUUACACGAUCCUUCGAUAAUGAAACUAAACCGAUAUAAAAGUAAUAUGAAUAAUAAUAAAAAAAAAAACUUCCACAGAGAAUCCGUUCGUGUACAGAUACAAUAACGCUUAUUCCCCAAAUACGCCAUUACUUCGACCUCGUAAAUACACCCGUUAUGGGCCAUAAAAUCGAAUAAUCGUCGACCGAUAUUUAGCGGGUACAGCGGCGCGAUAACGUUUUGUCCACGGUCAGCAGAUUGCCGAUUGAGCCGCACUGAAUCAAUGGUUUGCGUCCGUCCACCAUGUAACUGGAUCGUCAUAUUUUUACAUUCACCGUGUUAAUCGAUACCAAUAACGCAGAUGUAACGUUUUGAUUCCCGGCCGAGAAUUUAGAAUCGUUAAAUCCUUCCACGAAAUUCACGUAUUAUAAAAAAAAAUCGAAUUAAAUGAAAUUAUUUUUCAAUCUCCCUCGACAAUACGUCCGCGCACGUAUUCCCUGUAAUACGAAUUUCAAAAAUUAAUAACUAGGAUUAAAAAUUGGAGGAGAAAGAAAAAGAAUCGAUCUUUUUUCCCAACCACUAAUAAAUCCUGUUCGAAGCUUCCACUUUCGCUCGAUUCAAACCUCUAAUCUCGCGCAUCUAUCCAUCGCCUUCUCCCCUCCCCUCCCCCUUUUUUAACCAAGUAAUGCAUCAUCGCCGCAAAUUUCCCCUCGUAUAUCGCUUAACCGCACCUUCUUCCCUUCGACUUCUGAUUAAGCGAGCCACGACAAGGGUGCGAACGGCGGACGGUCCCGCGAUUAAUCGACCAGGUGUGUACGUCGAUUUCUCCAUUGUCAGUCGCGUUGGCCGGGGCCGGCGGCGGCGCGUCAUUCUAACGCUUCACGCUUUACAAACUAUAUUUCACUCGGCCCCCGGUAAUUUUAUGUGCGAGCUGUCCCACCUAUCUCCACGGCGCGAGCGAACCCCACAGCCCCGGGAACACCGGCACCGGCUAGAUACCCCCAAGUUUAUUGCCGUUCGGUGAUAACCCGUAAAUUGCUGUCCAUAGGAAACGGGUAUAAGCGAUAGCACAAAGCCGUAAUCUGCGCCGAAUCGCCCGCAGAGUCGGCGAGCGGGCAAACUUCUAUAUUGCCGAUUCCAAUGGUUAACGCGCGCGGAUGCGCGCGCGUUUUUUCACCUCCUCUUCGCUCGCCCAUAAUUUUCCCGCUUUCACGCGCGCGCGCGCACCAACCCUACCCAGCAAUAAUUAUUGCUCCCGCCAUUGGCCCACGCUUGUUCAUCGAAUUCAUCUUUCCUUUUCUUCCUUCUUCUUUUUUUUCUUUCGUUUUUUAAUUUUCGCUCUCUUCCUAGUCUCGAUUAACGUUGAGUUAACGGUUGUAAUUUAGAAGAUUUCAUGGCUUCGUGGCACUGGCAGUUCUUGGACUGUUAUUCAUUUCGCAACCUCGAGAUGCUGGUUUAGAGUUCCUCGUAUAUCUGUUUGUUGAUAGAAUUAUUGCAGGUAAGUGAAACGCGUGUGCAACGAAUUUAAGAAAUGAAAAUUAUUUCCUAAAUCUUCGAUCUUGCACCUAUUUUCCUCCAUUUCCCGCGAUUUUUCUGCUUCGCCAUACACGCGAUCAAGAACGUCGUCAUUUCUUCGUGCCACGUAUUUCCGUGGUUAAAGAGCGUCUCGUUCACGUAUGAAAAUU